UUAAAUUGAAGAGUUUGAUCAUGGCUCAGAUUGAACGCUGGCGGCAGGCCUAACACAUGCAAGUCGGACGGUAGCACAGGGAGCUUGCUCUCGGGUGACGAGUGGCGGACGGGUGAGUAAUGUCUGGGGAUCUGCCCGAUAGAGGGGGAUAACCACUGGAAACGGUGGCUAAUACCGCAUAACG
rnacentral:rRNA from 1 species